rnacentral:rRNA from 1 species
UACGAAGGGGGCUAGCGUUGCUCGGAAUCACUGGGCGUAAAGCGCACGUAGGCGGAUUGUUAAGUCAGGGGUGAAAUCCUGGAGCUCAACUCCAGAACUGCCUUUGAUACUGGCGAUCUCGAGUCCGGGAGAGGUGAGUGGAACUGCGAGUGUAGAGGUGAAAUUCGUAGAUAUUCGCAAGAACACCAGUGGCGAAGGCGGCUCACUGGCCCGGUACUGACGCUGAGGUGCGAAAGCGUAGGGAGCAAACAGG